CAGCCGCCGCGGGAAUACGUAGGGUGCAAGCGUUAAUCGGAAUUACUGGGCGUAAAGCGUGCGCAGGCGGUCCGCUAAGACAGAUGUGAAAUCCCCGGGCUUAACCUGGGAACUGCAUUUGUGACUGGCGGGCUAGAGUAUGGCAGAGGGGGUAGAAUUCCACGUGUAGCAGUGAAAUGCGUAGAGAUGUGGAGGAAUACCGAUGGCGAAGGCAGCCCCCUGGGCCAAUACUGACGCUCAUGCACGAAAGCGUGGGGAGCAAACAGGAUUAGAUACCCCUGUAGUCCCUGUCUCUUAUACA
rnacentral:rRNA from 1 species